rnacentral:rRNA from 1 species
GCUGUCCGGCGUGCUUAACACAUGCAAGUCGAACGGAAAGGCCUGCAGCUUGCUGCGGGUACUCGAGUGGCGAAGGGGUGAGUAACACGUGGGUGAUCUGCCUUGCACUUCGGGAUAAGCUUGGGAAACUGGGUCUAAUACCGGAUAGGACAGCUGUUUAGUGUCAGUUGUGGAAAGUUUUUUCAGGUGCAAGAUGAGCUUGCGGCCUAUCAGCUUGUUGGUGGGGUAAUGGCCUACCAAGGCGUCGACGGGUAGCCGGCCUGAGAGGGUGUACGGCCACAUUGGGACUGAGAUACGGCCCAGACUCCUACGGGAGGCAGCAGUGGGGAAUAUUGCACAAUGGGCGGAAGCCUGAUGCAGCGACGCCGCGUGGGGGAUGAAGGCCUUCGGGUUGUAAACUCCUUUCGACAGGGACGAAGCGUAAGUGACGGUACCUGUAUAAGAAGCACCGGCUAACUACGUGCCAGCAGCCGCGGUAAUACGUAGGGUGCGAGCGUNGUCCGGAAUUACUGGGCGUAAAGAGCUCGUAGGUGGUUUGUCGCGUCGUCUGUGAAAUUCCGGGGCUUAACUCCGGGCGUGCAGGCGAUACGGGCUGACUUGAGUGCUGUAGGGGAGACUGGAAUUCCUGGUGUACGGUUGAAAUGCGCAGAUAUCAGGAGGAACACCCGAUGGGCGAAAGGCAGGUCCUCUGGGACAGUAACUUGACGCUGAAGGAGCGAANAGGCAUGGGUAAGCGAACAGGAUUCAGAUAACCCUGGGUAAUCCC